AUUGAACGCUGGCGGCAUGCCUUACACAUGCAAGUCGAACGGCAGCACGGGAGCAAUCCUGGUGGCGAGUGGCGAACGGGUGAGUAAAGCAUCGGAACGUGCCCAGUCGUGGGGGAUAACGUAGCGAAAGCUACGCUAAUACCGCAUACGAUCUGUGGAUGAAAGCGGGGGACCGUAAGGCCUCGCGCGAUUGGAGCGGCCGAUGUCAGAUUAGGUAGUUGGUGGGGUAAAGGCUCACCAAGCCGACGAUCUGUAGCUGGUCUGAGAGGACGACCAGCCACACUGGGACUGAGACACGGCCCAGACUCCUACGGGAGGCAGCAGUGGGGAAUUUUGGACAAUGGGCGCAAGCCUGAUCCAGCAAUGCCGCGUGCAGGAUGAAGGCCUUCGGGUUGUAAACUGCUUUUGUACGGAGCGAAAAGGCUUCCACUAAUACUGGGGGCUCAUGACGGUACCGUAAGAAUAAGCACCGGCUAACUACGUGCCAGCCGCCGCGGUAAUAC
rnacentral:rRNA from 1 species